rnacentral:lncRNA from 1 species
GCAAUCCUUUCUCAGUCAUGAACCAAAGUGAGGAGUCUUUCCAACCAUGUCUGUAAUGCAAGGAUGUGCAUGAUAUGCAUGAGGUGCAUGAUAUGGGUACUAUUUUGUCAUGAAUGAUCCUGAUAAAGGAUAUGCGUAUGCGAGUUAACUUUUUUUCUUUUUUUUUUUCAUGCAUUAUUAUUUUUUGAAAAUAAACAUGCUAUGAUGCAAAUGAUGCAACAUGACUGGUCAGGCUGUGCAUCUCGGAGCACAGGAUCAAAGCUUCGGCUUGAAUUCUG